rnacentral:rRNA from 1 species
AUUGAGCGCUGGCGGCAUGCCUUACACAUGCAAGUCGAACGGUAACAGGUUAAGCUGACGAGUGGCGAACGGGUGAGUAAUAUAUCGGAACGUGCCCAGUCGUGGGGGAUAACGUAGCGAAAGCUACGCUAAUACCGCAUACGAUCUACGGAUGAAAGCGGGGGAUCGCAAGACCUCGCGCGAUUGGAGCGGCCGAUAGCAGAUUAGGUUGUUGGUGAGGUAAAAGCUCACCAAGCCUGCGAUCUGUAGCUGGUCUGAGAGGACGACCAGCCACACUGGAACUGAGACACGGUCCAGACUCCUACGGGAGGCAGCAGUGGGGAAUUUUGGACAAUGGACGCAAGUCUGAUCCAGCAAUGCCGCGUGCAGGACGAAGGCCUUCGGGUUGUAAACUGCUUUUGUACGGAACGAAACGGUGAGCUCUAAUACAGUUUGCUAAUGACGGUACCGUAAGAAUAAGCACCGGCUAACUACGUGCCAGCCGCCGCGGUAA